rnacentral:misc_RNA from 1 species
GCGUGUGAGUGGUGAUUGGAUGGAAUGGGUUUGCAGGCUCCUUGCUUGUGCAUCGAACUGUAAGCUCCCCGUCCUCUUCAUAGUUAUCCCCAAGCAUGUCGCAUGUCUUGUUGGUGCGUCUGGUAUCCUGUAUUGACUACCAAUGCAACGGUAUUCGGUUUUCUUGAUGCCUACAUUCGCCCGGUGCCCGUUAGGGUGUUGGGUGGACAACAGGUUGGCCCCGUGCUCCAAGCAUGCCUUGCAAUGUUGUGUGGCUGCCAUGGCGUAUGGGGUUGUGCCCGUUCUUUUGGAUGCUGAUCGUUAUGUGUGUUGAUGAGGGGUCUUGACCUCUACUCGUCUGCUUUACGCACUUAUCCCUUGACACGAAUGACCGCCGCACUUGUUUUGGUUGAAGAGCUCACAGCUCUUUGAGGCUCCAUGCAGGUGUCGGCGUCGUGAAGGAAUGC